UACGUAGGUGGCAAGCGUUGUCCGGAAUUAUUGGGCGUAAAGCGCGCGCAGGCGGUCCUUUAAGUCUGAUGUGAAAGCCCUCGGCUCAACCGAGGAAGGUCAUUGGAAACUGGAGGACUUGAGUGCAGAAGAGGAAAGUGGAAUUCCAAGUGUAGCGGUGAAAUGCGUAGAGAUUUGGAGGAACACCAGUGGCGAAGGCGACUUUCUGGUCUGUAACUGACGCUGAGGCGCGAAAGCGUGGGGAGCAAACAGG
rnacentral:rRNA from 1 species